rnacentral:rRNA from 1 species
UACGGGGGGGGCAAGCGUUGUCCGGAUUUAUUGGGCGUAAAGAGCGUGUAGGCGGUUUGGUAGGUCCGCUGUGAAAACUCGAGGCUCAACCUCGAGACGCCGGUGGAAACCAUCAGACUAGAGUCCGGAAGAGGAGAGUGGAAUUCCUGGAUGUGAGCGGUGAAAUGCGCAGAUAUCAGGAAGAACACCCGUGGCGAAAGCGGCUCUCUGGAACGGUACUGACGCUGAGACGCGAAAGCGUGGGGAGCGAACAGG